CACUCAUCGCAGAAAUGGGUGAAUCCAGUGGAGGUCGUCAAGUGGAUAAGGGUUAUCACAGUAUUAAGAAGAAGACGGAUGAUUAUGUAAACAUUGAAAACAUGUAAACAAUGAGGACUUCAAAACAAGAUUAAAAGACAGUAAUUUGGGACGACAAUGAGCAGACAGGUAAGCAGAUGAUCCUGGAGCAGGUGCCAUCCUUUGGAAGUGCAAUAGCUUCUCAGGCAUCAAUUCCCUUCAGGGGGGAUAUUUGGAGCGUAUUAAUUUCAAUU